rnacentral:rRNA from 1 species
CCUACGGGAGGCAGCAGUGGGGAAUAUUGCACAAUGGGGGAAACCCUGAUGCAGCGACGCCGCGUGAGUGAAGAAGUAUUUCGGUAUGUAAAGCUCUAUCAGCAGGGAAGAAAAUGACGGUACCUGACUAAGAAGCCCCGGCUAACUACGUGCCAGCAGCCGCGGUAAUACGUAGGGGGCAAGCGUUAUCCGGAUUUACUGGGUGUAAAGGGAGCGUAGGUGGCAUGGUAAGCCAGAAGUGAAAACCCAGGGCUCAACUCUGUGGAUUGCUUUUGGAACUAUCAAGCUAGAGUGCUGGAGGGGUAAGCGGAAUUCCUAGUGUAGCGGUGAAAUGCGUAGAUAUUAGGAGGAACACCGGUGGCGAAGGCGGCUUACUGGACAGAAACUGACACUGAGGCUCGAAAGCGUGGGGAGCAAACAGGAUUAGAUACCCCUGUAGUC